GUCUCUUUAGCUCACUUGGGAGAGCGCCAGACUGAAGUACAUCAGUCAUUAAAUCUGGAGGUAUCGCGUUCGAUCCGCGAAAGGGACA